UCCCCGAUAUAGAGCUGAGGGCAAACAUUUGUGUGCUUGUGAGAGAGCAAGGGUCUCCCCUGUAACUGUUUGGUAGUUUUGUAGAGUUGCAGGCGGUGGCACAACUAUCAACGUCUAGCAUACCUGCAGACAUGACCCGGUGCGUGUGGAGACAGUGUCCCUGAAUGUCUUUGUGCGUAAGCGCCUGCUGAAUCUAUCCGUCUCGCCACACGCACGAUUUGGCCACCAUGACCCUCACCAUCCUCGAAGAUUUGCGUGUUGUACUAAGAGCCACCAGGGAAGAAGUGGCAGCUGAGCACCUAUUCCGACUCCUCUGAAGGCUUUGCAGGUGGAAAAGAGCGACCUGUUACCUUGGCCCAGACCCAGUCUCAACAAUGUCUCUUCUGCCUGUGUGGGAACUCAGCUGAAGGUAUUUUUCUUUAUAUACUAAGGCAGGGUACUGCUGCCAUGUGUCUGGCCUGCUCU